rnacentral:rRNA from 1 species
GACGAACGCUGGCGGCGUGCCUAAUACAUGCAAGUAGAACGCUGAAGGAGGAGCUUGCUUCUCUGGAUGAGUUGCGAACGGGUGAGUAACGCGUAGGUAACCUGCCUGGUAGCGGGGGAUAACUAUUGGAAACGAUAGCUAAUACCGCAUAAGAGUAGAUGUUGCAUGACAUUUGCUUAAAAGGUGCAAUUGCAUCACUACCAGAUGGACCUGCGUUGUAUUAGCUAGUUGGUGGGGUAACGGCUCACCAAGGCGACGAUACAUAGCCGACCUGAGAGGGGGAUCGGCCACACUGGGACUGAGACACGGCCCAGACUCCUACGGGAGGCAGCAGUAGGGAAUCUUCGGCAAUGGACGGAAGUCUGACCGAGCAACGCCGCGUGAGUGAAGAAGGGUUUCGGAUCGUAAAGCUCGGUUGUAAGAGAAGAACGAGUGUGAGAGUGGAAAGUUCACACUGUGACGGUAUCUUACCAGAAAGGGACGGCUAACUACGUG